UGUAGGUAUGAUGGCAUAUGCCUGUGAUCUGAGUUACUAACACUUCAGCCCAGUUGUGUGCUGAAGUGUGCUGUGCUGAUUGGGUGUCCACACUAAGUUUGUCAUCACUGUGGUGACCUCCUGAGAGUAGGGAGCCAUCUGGAUGCCUGGGGGUGUGAGGUCAGUGAAUUGGCGCAGGUUGGACACACAGCAAGUCGGAACUCCUGUGUUGAUUAGUAGUGGGGUUGUUGCUGUGAGUAGCCAAGAUCAGAAAUGGGCUGUAUU
rnacentral:SRP_RNA from 1 species